UGGGGAAUAUUGCACAAUGGGCGCAAGCCUGAUGCAGCCAUGCCGCGUGUAUGAAGAAGGCCUUCGGGUUGUAAAGUACUUUCAGCGGGGAGGAAGGGAGUAAAGUUAAUACCUUUGCUCAUUGACGUUACCCGCAGAAGAAGCACCGGCUAACUCCGUGCCAGCAGCCGCGGUAAUACGGAGGGUGCAAGCGUUAAUCGGAAUUACUGGGCGUAAAGCGCACGCAGGCGGUUUGUUAAGUCAGAUGUGAAAUCCCCGGGCUCAACCUGGGAACUGCAUCUGAUACUGGCAAGCUUGAGUCUCGUAGAGGGGGGUAGAAUUCCAGGUGUGGCGGUGAAAUGCGUAGAGUUCUGGAGGAAUACCGGUGGCGAAGGCGGCCCCCUGGACGAAGACUGACGCUCAGGUGCGAAAGCGUGGGGAGCAAACAGG
rnacentral:rRNA from 1 species